UUUAUAUGUAUGUAUGCAUGUAUAUGUAUGUAUGUAUGCAUAUACAUGCAUACAUACAUACAUAUACAUGCAUACAUACAUACAUA